AGCAGCCGCGAUAAUUCCAGCUCCAAUAGCGUAUAUUAAAGUUGUUGCAGUUAAAAAGCUCGUAGUUGAAUUUCGGGAUCAAUUUGCUGGUCGUGCCUUCGGUACGCACUGGUAUUAUUGGUUUCUCCUUUCUGAUGAAUCGCGAUGUCAUUAAUUUGGUGUCGUGGGGAAUCAGGACUGUUACUUUGAAAAAAUUGGGUGUUUAAAGCAGGCUCACGCUUGAAUACAUUAGCAUGGAAUAAUGAAAUAGGACGUUUGAUUCUAUUUUGUUGGUUUCUAGGAUCGACGUAAUGAUUAAUAGGGAUAGUUGGGGGCAUUAGUAUUCAAUUGUCAGAGGUGAAAUUCUUGGAUUUAUUGAAGACUAACUACUGCGAAAGCAUUUGCCAAGGAUGUUUUCAUUAAUCAAGAACGAAAGUUAGGGAUCGAAGACGAUCAGAUACCGUCGUAGUCUUAACCAUAAACUAUGACCGACUAGGGAUCGGAUGAUGUUAUUUUUAAUGUACUCAUUCGGCUACCG
rnacentral:rRNA from 1 species